GCUUAAUGAAGGUGGUGGAUUUCAUGGGAACUUUGCAGAAUGAGUAUGCGUAGACAUUCAUUUCAGGUAGCAGGAAUUAGCGAGAAUCAGCAAUGCUUUGUUACAUGAUAGAAAGUCGGCCAGUCUGAGUGAAUUAUGAGGGAAUAGGAGUAGUAGUCAGAGCUGAUACGUGAUGGGGAAGGGGCUGGUAUGACCUUCAUAGCCUCUGCUGAUGGUUUAGGUGAUGAUAGAUUUGUGAUAUGCUUGUGUCUUUAGAGUGCUUACUGAAUAUGUUUCAGUAUUUUCUAGCCUUUCCUUUAAAUAUUUUGGGGAAAUGCUUAUAUUUGGUUUGACCAAUUUUGGGGAGUAAGUGAUUUUUUAAGUUUUUCAAAUACAUAAUUCCUUUUGGUACUUUAACUCCACAAUGAUGACUGAAUAAAGUUAUCUUGAUUUUAAUACAGUAGGUAUGAUGUAAAACCCUCUAAAGAGAGCACAGAAAUACUGCCGAAACCUUCCAAAGAGAGAGGAUAGUAAAAUGCCAUUUUAAUUUGAUUUAAAAUGCUUUGUUGAAAUAGGUAAGCUGAGAAAACUCUCCAGAGUGCUUUUGGAAAUUCUUCAAAAAGUUUCUGAAAUGAUGCCUGCGUUUCUGAAGUGAAUGUGCAAAUCUAAUGUUUCCACUUAAAUAGGUUGUUUUUAUUAAGUAGUUGAUUUUUCUCUAGGAAUUGGGAACUUGUUCAUGAUCAUGAAACUUAACUUGUCACUGAAUUUUUGGUGACAGCACUUUCUAACGAGUAUUUAUUUUUUUCAAAAUAUUUUAGGUCAUAUUUAACAAUAAGCUACUGGACUUAAGUGGUAUGACUGUCUCUCAUGCAUAGGGUUUUAGUUCUUUAACU
rnacentral:lncRNA from 1 species